CCUGUGAACAUACCUAUAACGUUGCCUCGGCGGGAACAGACGGCCCCGUAACACGGGCCGCCCCCGCCAGAGGACCCCCUAACUCUGUUUCUAUAAUGUUUCUUCUGAGUAAACAAGCAAAUAAAUUAAAACUUUCAACAACGGAUCUCUUGGCUCUGGCAUCGAUGAAGAACGCAGCGAAAUGCGAUAAGUAAUGUGAAUUGCAGAAUUCAGUGAAUCAUCGAAUCUUUGAACGCACAUUGCGCCCGCCAGUAUUCUGGCGGGCAUGCCUGUUCGAGCGUCAUUACAACCCUCAGGCCCCCGGGCUGGCGUUGGGGAUCGGCGGAAGCCCCCUGCGGGCACAACGCCGUCCCCCAAAUACAGUGGCGGUCCCGCCGCAGCUUCCAUUGCGUAGUAGCUAACACCUCGCAACUGGAGAGCGGCGCGGCCACGCCGUAAAACACCCAACUUCUGAAUGUUGACCUCGAAUCAGGUAGGAAUACCCGCUGAACUUAAGCAUAUCAAUAAGCGG
rnacentral:rRNA from 1 species